AUCCUUUCAUCUGUUAUAAAAGAAUACCACCAAUGUUUAAAAGAGGUGAAGUCCAGUAUUUCUUGGCUAAGAAGCAGGACAGCUCAGAUAGUACCCAUUUCUAUCAAAACCCAGGGCUCUUACUUUCAAGAUUUUCUUUGGUUUGCUGCAGGUUGAGUAUGGGGAUAUGCCUAGCUAUGUCUGUUUGUUACUUAUUCUGCUCUGUGUUCUCUGAGCUUCCUGGCUCUGUAAUCCGGUACUUUUCAUUAUGUUUGGAAAGUUCUUGGUCAUUGUUACUUCAAAUAUUCUUUCCCCACCAUCUUCUCUUCUCCUUCCAAUAUUCUCAUUACAUGUAUGUUAUGCUUUUUGAAAUUGUCCCACAGUUCUUGAAGGCUCUGUUAUGUUUUUCCACUCUUUUUGUCUUUGCAUUUUGGUUUGGAGAGUUGUUAUUGACCUAUCUUCAAGCUCAGUGACCCUUUCCUUGGCUGUGCCCUGUCUACUAAUGAGCCCAUCAGAGGCAUUCUUCAUUUUUGUUAGUGUUUUUGAUUUCUAGCAUUUCCUUCUGAUUCUUUCUUAGAGCUUCUGUCUCUCUGCCUAUAUUACCCAUCUGUUCUUGUAUACUGUCUACUUUCUCCAUUAGGAUCUUUAACAUAUUAAACACUUAUUUUAAGUUCCCUGUCUAAUAAUUCCAACAUAUGUAUAAUUUCUGAGUCUAGUUCUGAGGAUUGUUUUUUUCUCUUCAGACUGUUUUUUGUUGUUGUUGUUGUUUUUGUCUUUUGUCAUGUCUUGUAAUCUUUUUGCUGAAAGUCACACGUGUUGUAUGAGGUAAUAAGAACUACGGUCAACAGACAUUUAGUAUGAAAAUCUAUGGUCAUCUGGCUGGGAGUUUCGCUAUUUAGCAUUUACAGUGUUCUAGGUGCCGGAGGCCUCCAAUUCUUCCAGCGCCCCCGUUUUUUUCUCUGCUUUUGACUCUGGCCUCCCUAAGUACUAUUCCUCAGGGAGAGGGCAGGUCAGCUCUCUGAGAUGGACUCCACUGUUAUCAUACUGGAGUCCUUUGAUGUGGUGAUAAUGUAUAGAGGAGGAGAAGCAUUCUACAAUCUCAUGAACCAAUCUCAUUCUCUUAAUGGGUCUGUGUCACGGAGCUGGGACUGUCACAAGCAUUUCCUCUAUUGGUAUUUUCCCCCUGCCCCUACUCUUUUUUGAGUGCAGCAUUCCCAAUCUUUUCCCUUGGAACCGUGAUCCAUGUUGAUUAUGCUUUGUUUUUAUCAUAUAAUGAAGUACACAGGAAGUUCAGAGUCUACUGUUAUGGGAGAAAUGUCUUUUCCCUAGCUUGGAUAUCGCUCUAGUCAAGUCUUUUCUGAUGGGGCAAAGGCUUUUGUUAUGGACAUAUUUCACAAAGAUUACUCUUCCCUUCCUCCCAGAGCCAUGAGUGGAUCUCUCACAUCUUCAUCUUGAGAACCUGUGAGUUUCCUGAAGAGGAAGAAGGCCAGCCAGAAAGUCACUGAAAUAGUUUGGGGGCAAAAAAACUUAGGUGUACCACAUUAAAAGAGGACAACAAUCCAUCCAGCCCAGUAUCCCAUCUGACUGUGUUGUGGGGGAGCAGACCAACAGAGAUGAAAACAAAUGUAGUGAUGGAUCUAUUGUCCACCAAAUCAUGAGAACCCUUAAAAUCACAACAUCAUAGCAUGUCAGAACUAGAAGGAGUGAAUGAGCCCAUGUCCCUGAGGGGCCCAGAGGGCAGGAAUCUGCCCUCAGUUUGUGCAGAUUAAAGACCACUUUCUCAUCUAGAGUGAAAGACACUGGACCUUGAAUUGGAAGAACUUGAAAAAAUUAAAAGGCAUGGAGACCUUAUUGUCCUGAAUGUGGUUUCAGUGUAGCCACCAUCUGCACCCUACAACACUGGAGGUUCUUGAUUUCCUCCAGUUGGGAACAACUGUGAGCAUGGACAGCAGCAGUGACAGAAUGGGCUCCAGCUCCUGAAUCAGCAGGCAGCACGGAGGGAAUGGCUUGUAAUCUCAGCACCUGAGCUCUGUGAAGCAGAAUAUGCGGCCCCAAAAAUAUGACUGAAGGACUCCAGGACAUGCCACCCUAACAUAUGCUGCUUUGGUACACUGAUUACUUUGACCUGAAAGCACUGGAAAACAGCAGAUGCAGGAGGACUCUGAUCUCCCUCAUCUGCCUUAAGUCAGACCCUCCAAAAGGAACUAGGUCAUCAUCAAUCCCCUCCUGGGAGUGUCUUCAGCAAGGAAGAUGGAUUCUUAGUACAGGAGAUGAGACUAAAAGUCGGCAUCGCAUCCAGACACACUCUGUCCCAAACCGUCAGACUCCCCAUCGAGUCUUCUGAGGGCCCCUUCUGCUUUCCUAAAACCAUUUUCUCUCCCCUAAGAAGCCUGCAACUUCCCUUUUCCUUAUUAAGAUGGCAUUUAUUCCUGAGUUCUAAGCCACCUCAGACAGUUAGUCAUUUUCCCCCAUGAAACUUCCACGUAUACAUGAGACAGAAAUGUUAAUAAACUUCUUUUUGUUCUUCUCUUGUUAGUCUGUCUUUUAUUACAGGAGUCUUAGCUAAGAACUCAGAAGGUAGAGGGAAAAUUAUUUUUCCUUCCCUACAGUAGGACUCAUAGAGUAUGUAGCUUUUCAGAUUGGUGUUUUUUACUUAGCAACAUGUAUUUAAGGUUCUUCUAUGUCUUUUCAUGGUUUAUAGUUUUGUGGGGGUUUUUGCAGUUUUAAAUAAGCUGCUGUUAUGAAUAAACAUUCACGUGGAGGUUUCGGUCUGAAUGUAGAUUUUUCAACUCAUUUCGGUAAAUACCAAGGAGCAUGAUUACUAGGUCAUAUAGUAAAAGCAUAUUUAAUUUUGAAAGAAACCAUCAAACCAACUCCCAAAGUCACUCUACAAUUCUGUACUCACACAAGAAAUGAAUAGGAGUUUCUUUUGCUCCAUAGCCCACAUCUGGUGUUGCCAGUGUCCUGCAUUUUGGCCAUUCUAGUAGGUGUAUAGUGCUAUCUCCUUGUUUUAAUUUGCAAUUCCAUAAUCAUGUUGAGCAUCUUUUUUCACAUGCUUAUUUGCCAUCUGUAUAUCUUAUUUGGUAAAGUAUCUGUUCAGCUCUUCUGCCUAUUUUUAAAUUGUUUGUUUUCUUAUGUUAACUUUUAAGAGUUCGUUGUAUAUUUUAGAUACCAGUCCUCUAUCUAAUAUGUACCUUGAAAAAACUUUCCUUUGAAAGAGGCUUGUUUGCUCAUUCCCCUAGGAGUGUCAUUUGUAGAACAGAAGUUUCUAAUUUUAAUGGAAUGCACUUAUUAAUUUUUUCUUUUACUGAUUGUGCUUUUAGAUCUAAGAAGUCAUAGCCCCUGGCUGCCUUAGUUGGUAGAGCAUGAGACUCUUGCUCUUGGUUGUGAGUUCAAGCCCCAUGUUGGGUGUAGAAAUUACUUAAAAAUAGAUCUAAGACGUCAUUGCUAAACCCAAGGUCAUCUAGGUUUUUCUCCUAUAUUAGCUUCUUGGAGUUUUAUAAAAUAUGUUUUUUAAUUAGAAAAAAUAGAGACUCUGAAUAAGUCAAGGUCCCCACCAGAUUAUUUAAUCGAGACUUUAGUGAAGGGACAACUUGAAACAAGCUUGGCAAAGCUAAGGAAACAUACAAGGGGUGGUGAGACACCUAAAGAUAGCACCCAUGGUAAGCUAUUACCACUCCUAGGGCAGAUAGGGAAAGGGAAGAGGUAGGGCUGGCACCUAAGCAAUGGUAAAGGGGCUAUUACUGGGGA